rnacentral:rRNA from 3 species
UGUUUCGGCUAGGGGGUCAUCCCGACUUACCAACCCGAUGCAAACUACGAAUACCGAAGAAUGUUAUCACGGGAGACACACGGCGGGUGCUAACGUCCGUCGUGAAGAGGGAAACAACCCAGACCGCCAGCUAAGGUCCCAAAGUCAUGGUUAAGUGGGAAACGAUGUGGGAAGGCACAGACAGCCAGGAUGUUGGCUUAGAAGCAGCCAUCAUUUAAAGAAAGCGUAAUAGCUCACUGGUCGAGUCGGCCUGCGCGGAAGAUGUAACGGGGCUAAACCAUGCACCGAAGCUGCGGCAGCGACACUAUGUGUUGUUGGGUA